CUAUAUAUCCAACAUAAUUCAGUUUUGCUGGGUUUUUCUGAGGUCAUUUGCUGUGGAUGGAUCAUAGUUCUGAUCAAUCUGUUAGAUCUACAAGUCUUUCAGUGUUUUCUACCCUUUGUCACAGUUUUCUGUUUCACAGUGAAUUAUUAGGACCCUUUUAAGCCUUGCCCCUUAAACAAUGCCUGAGGCUCUCUGUCCUUGUGCUAAAGCUAGCUCUGGAUGCUCAGCCUCAGCAAGGGAACAUGCUUCCCUGGGACUCACACUCAACAGUCCAACAAGUCUUUCUCCUUUGACACCAUGCUGUUAGAGGUUUAAGAAAUUAUGUUGAUUUGAUUUAUCUUUCAUUAUACACAGGCAUUCUUCAAGAUCCAAAUAUCUCUCAGCUCUCUGUUGGAAUCCUUCACUGUGCACAGCCUUCUUGGCAGUAGCAUGUUGUAUGGUUUUAGCUCCUUUUAGCUUUCUGUUUGUUCUUUCAAUCUCAUUUCCCCUAAAGGUUGCUGUGGAACACCUUCCUUAUGAUGUUCCCACCCACACUGCCCUCCUGGGAGCUGGCUGCAGUGCAGUAGUGUUUCAUGGCUUACACUGCUCCAGGUACCACAUGAUGCUGUUGUCCACAUGCCUGUGAUGACUAGUCAGUUCUGACAUUGAUAGACUUGCAUAAGUGAAUAACCAGCAACUUCUCCACACCACUCCUCAUUUCAUUUCCCUUAAAUGUCUUUUUGUACAUAAAGAGUUCUGCUGAUUUAGUAUUUCCCCAUUUGGAAGAUGUUCCCACUUUUGGACUAUCCCUACUGUCCCUACUGGACUAUCUCCUACACCUGUACCAUUUCUACAAUGAUUUCUAAAAUAUCUGAACCUGAUCUGUCACCAGUAAGGGUAAUUUCACACCAUCUACACACCACCAUAAUUUCUGGUUUGACCUUUAUUCCUUUCUUACAUACUGAUACAGUCUGUAGGCUGGCUCUCUGCAAUCACUUGGCAGAGCACAGAGCACAGAGACCAAUGCUGUCCAAAUGUUUGUUCCCUGUGAUCAUGGUUAAUAAAGCUCACUUCUGACCUGUCCUACAUUGUACUUAUGUUAUGAAGCACUCAGUGUGCCCAGAUAUGACACUUGACAAAACUAUGUGUCCUCCUGACUGCUGUUAACAGUGAACUGAGUGCUUCCCACAGACCAACCAGCAGUUACUCCUAGUUCCCUUUUCUGUAUGGUAAUAGCCAAUUUAAAAGCCAUUCAUUUAUAUAUGCCUAGUUAAAAUUGUUUGCCUCCAUAUUCAUUAUUUUACAUUUAUUGACAUUGAAUUUUUGUCUGUUAUUUAACAGCCUGCAUAUCCAGAGCCUGUUCAUCAGACUAAAUGUAGAAAAAUGUCAUCUGGGCCAGGCACCAUGUCAUCCCAUUAUAGGCAGCAGAGAGAAAGAGUCAUCUCCAGGAAUAUGAGUCUUCCAAGUCUAAUGUAUAUAUCCCAAACAGACCAGGGGAAUCCAGCCUGUUCCUCUCCACUGAGUACAAAAAUGAGCCUCAGGUGGUUCUUUGUUUCUCUAACAGCUAUGCUCUGUUAGGUAAAAUAAAUCCAACCUGUUGUGAGCGGUCUUUCACAUUGCAGGCAGCCUUUGUUUAUAUUGCCUUAAACUAUUUUGUGUCAUCUACAAACCCUGCCAUGAUGCUAUUAGCUUUUCUCAGAUGAUUUUUGCAUGAAUGGGGCAGGCACACAAAUCCACAGAUGCUGAUGGGACUGCCCUGGAAAUCUCCCUUUAAAAAAAAUCCAAGGAAAACCCCCAUGACCUUUUGUUUCUACCCUUUCUUUUUUACUGUAAGAGCUUUAUUUAUUUAACAACCUUUUGGGAAGGACAUCAUCAAAACGUCUUCGGAAACAAAAGCAUGCUUCAUUAACAGCACCACCACAAUCUGUGCUCUCACUGACUAUUUCUAAGGAGUCCAAUGGAUUUAUGAUGUAAGAUUUUCUCCCCAUAGAAGUUCUAGGCUUUCUUAUAAGUUUCCUAUGUUGGUGUUCCUAUGUCAGCAUUACACAUCUAUAAGUGUUGGGACCUUUUCUAAUUUUCUUUUCCAAAACUGGGUUCACAUCUGUCUUCUAAGGAGAGGGUUGAGCAGUUUUAGCAGUUCUUUAACAACUCUGGGGUUCUGCUGAUGCAUUGCUACUGAUUUUAUUGUUCUUUCUUAAAUAUUCACCUACUAGAUUAGAGCUGCUCCUAUUUGUUGUCAUCAGGAAAGCCCACACAGUGGGAAUAUCCCUGAGUUUUUUGUGGCUUCCAAGCUCACCUAGUUUUCCUCUUUCUGGAAACCCCAUUGACCCUAUUGAUUCCCUAAUUUUCCACAGCAAGUUUGGGAGAGAUUUGACUAUGUCUUUUGGUUCUUUUAGCAAAUUGUCUUCAAAAUGGUUUUCAGACCUGACUCCUUAUGAUCUUACCUUUUGCUUACCAGAACACAAUCUACAUCUACUUCCUGGAGAUUUGUCUUCGAUGAUGUUCAUAUCGAUAAAAUAUUUUUUGCUUUGUUUUGUAAAAAGAUCAGUAUGCUGAUCAUAGUGGAGUAGGUUAAGUGAUGCUAUGACUUACAUUAGGCACAUAGCCUAUUAUUAUGGUGAAGGUGUAGUUCACCUACUUCAGCUCACAGACAGGAGUUUUGGUAAUAAUAAAGAGAAUAGUUUAUUUUAGUCUGAGAUGGCCCAAGGUAGGCAGCAGAGGUAUUUGUGCUCUGGUACCCUUCCUUUUCAUGGCAUUUUUAGAAUGCUCUCUGCUUCAUUAAAAAAAAAAAAAAAGAAACACCUUCCAUUUUUAAAUUAAUUGAGUUAAUACUGUUUUCACAAGAGAGGAGAUUCCUCAGAGGAAGGUCAAUAACAUAAUUAGCAAAAUAUAAUUAAGACACUGGUGCUGAAGAACAGGAACCAAGUCGUUGGCCAGAUGUUUCCCUUAGUACAGCUUGUAGGUUGGUUUCUGUCCUUUGGCUAGGCUUGUGAAAAAGACAGAAUUUAACAAGGAAAAAAAAAGCUCUUGGGUCUGAAUAUCUGGCACUUGAAAGUCAACACAAGCUAUGAUUUGGUUUUCUAAGCACUCAAUUUUUUGCAACUUUGCAUCAUGAGCAAGCAAAAAAGUCAUUGUUUAUGUUCUUCAUUUCAAAAGUCAAUUUUAUGUCACAUAUUGAUUUGCAAUAUUCAGUGCUUUCAAUUUACCCUUUUACAUAUAUUUGCAGAUAUAAGCCCAACUGAAGCCUGAAACAAGGCAAUUAGUAUAGCCUGCUAAAGCAGUCCAUACUCUCAAUUACUUGAUCUUAAUGAAUACUCUAAUCUCCGGGGCAUUCUAUAGAAAUAAAAACUAAUUUUAAAUAAUAGCCAUAUUUGAAAGUUUGAACUUUUGUUUGGAACUGCUUACAAAGAGAAAAAUCAAGAAUUAUCCAGUAAAUUACUGGGAAUGAGUUAUUGUUCUUGCUCUGUUGAUAAUUAUGGGAACAGAAGAAUUGCUAUAUUUUAGCAGUCUAGUGUGAUGAGUCUGUUCCCAUUUUUUGCACGGUGAUCAAUUCUUUAUGUUUCAAAGGCACAUUAUCUAGUAACCCACACAAAAGAACAGUUUUUAAUCUCUGGAAAUUACUGCCCGAUUUAGAGCCUCAAACAUGGCAAUGAGAGUCCCAAGUGUAUUAACUCUUCUUUUCUUAAAAUGACUCCUGUAAAUACCUGAAAUGCCAAGACCUGGUUCCACCCGCAUAUUGUAGGUUUGGUUCUGUUUUUAGUUUGUAGAGAAGAGUUAUUGGCAUUUCAUAUAUUUACUUGGCAUCUUCAGAAGAAGUACAUCUGUAUUUAUCUCUUUGACAGAUCCUGGAAAGGCAGGAGUUUCCCCACAUAGUUUUAUGGAGGCGAAGUAACCACAGCAUUAACAGAGGGAAUGAAAUCUGUCUUACCUCCUCAUUUUCAUUCUUCAAACUCCAGGUUUUUUUCCAUCAGAGCAAAAGAUGCGGCUAGCUUCUCACUCCUGCUAACUGGAUUAAGACUAACAGCUAAUUUUACGUACAGGAAUGUAAUUUUCCAAUUGCUUUUCCAGUUUCUUCAUAUGUUCCAAUUCUCACCUGGUAUAUAAUUCCAGAAAGACUGUAAACUCUAGUAAUUCAGUCAUGCAGACUGCAUCUUUAGGUGUUUGAAUGCUCUAAAUAUGUUUUCCUGAAGCUCAUUGAUUAACACAGGGCUCCAGAUUUUAUUUAGUGGCCUGUGAUUGUAUCUAUAAAUAUAUGUUUGGCCAUAGAUUUAAUUCUUUUGGAAACCCUGCUUAUGCAUGGAUGACUGAUGGACCAUUAUAAGUCAUUGACUGUAGAGAAGGUUAAUCAGACAAAUCUUCUCAUUAACCUGAAUCUGAUUCUCUUCUUUAUUAUUGAAAGACAGAUAAUUUUCAUUUUCACAGUGAGGUCAAGAAAUGAGUUAUUAUAAAAUAUGUCUAUAUGUUAAGCAUGUGUGCAUUUUAUAUGAGAGUUUAUAGAACAAGGAAUAUAUUGUGCAAAAGCAUUUUGUAGUGCCAUUCAAUCAGAAAAAGCUCACAGCACAUAUAAAUGAAUAGAAGACUGUUCUUUUCCAGUGUGCAAGUGCAUAAAAAUGACCUUGAUAGCUCUUCUUAUUUUCUUUUUUUUUCCCUAUCUCUGUGUUCCUAUAUUGUCUUUUUUUCAUUCUGCCAAUACUUUUUUACAUUGUUUUAUGUUGAUGUUUCAUUUUUGUUGGGCUGCUUACUUGCUUAAAUACAUGACAUUUCAUUCAUUCAGUGGUGAUCCCCAUAUUACUUUGUCUAGCCUAUUCCCAGUCUUGCACAUAACCCUAGUAACCUUAUAAGUGGCAGGCACAAUAUUGUCUCCAAGUAGUCUGUUCACAUUUUUGAAACAGAUCUGAACAUUGUGAGCUUUUUUUCUCAGACUGAUAGGUAAAGCCCUAUUUAUUUAUCUUAUUUGCCAAACAUGCUACGUCAAUAUGCCAUGAGGAGUUGUAUGUAGAUAGCAGGCCAACUCAUUCCUUAUGUCAUUCAAAAAUGACAGACUUAUUUAUAUAGUUUUGAAUUAUGAUUGGCAGUGUGCUACAUGUAUGCCUCCAUCUAUAUGUGGGAGAAGGAGUGAGACUAAGUCCAGCAUGUCCUCUUUCUUUGAAGUCACUGGAAUUUCCCUUAACAUUCACGUUGGAGAGAAAUCUGGAAACAGUAGGAUUUCCUAGCACAUCCUACAUAAUUAUAGGGAUGUCAAACCGUAAUUAAAUACUUAAAAUCUUGUUUCUGUUGCUAGCUGACCCUGGCAGAAUCAUAAGUCUCUUGGCACAUUUCUGCCAGAAAAGUCCUUAAUUUUUUGAAUGAUAUGUUGGGAACAUAACCAACACCAUCUCUUUGCUGAGAGUAACUAGGUGUUCUCAUAUAUCCACUAAACAUGGUAAUUUCUUCUGUUAGAUCAAUGUUUUGAUUUCUUCUCCAAUCAAUGUUUUAUAUCAAAUAAUUGAAUAAUCUUGAGAGCAGAAUGUAAUGACAUAGUCUUCCAUGCCUACUCCAAGUGACUAGAUUAGUGAGUAAUUUUUUGGCUUGCUAGCUCAACAGACAUACAAUCAUUUAAUUAAAACUGGAAAAAUUAACCUGAAGAAACUGGAGAGUGACAUACAGAUAUAUGUUGCUGGCCACAGCAAGAUUAAGGUUAAAACUGCCUUGGCAGAGGUAAAUGGGCAAGACUCCCACAGACCUGGAUGGUUGUCCUCAUUGCUCCUAGAAAGCAAGGAAACCAAGAAGGUUGCAUUAGCAGCUCCUGGGGCUGAGGGAAAAAAGGUUUUCCCCCUCAGCUCAGUGCCAGCUGGAUGAGAGAGUUCUCUAUUCCUUCUGGUGGCUUUGCCUGUUCAGAGACAUGUGGAUGUCCCCGCAUAUACAACAGGGAGCCUAGGUAUAUAAGGCAGGGCUGGAUAUUUCUCUGUGGGACAAGAUCUUGGAUUCAUCCCGUGUAACAGUCAGCCUGAAUUAUUGCUCGGAAUUCUCCAUUAACUUCAGAGGAGCUCUGCAAGGUCUUUGUUUCUGGCUAAGGCUCCCAAAGUUAGCGGGAUGAAGCCGGCUGAAAGUGUCAGAAGUUCAAAAUUGCGACACUUGAUACUGCAGUUUCUAAAGGCUUUUGUGGAGUCAUCUGGUGGGGAAAUUUUGGUUAGGUAAAUGCAGUGGUAUUUUACGAUUGACUUUAAUAGCCCUGGAAGUAAUUUAAAGAAUUCUGUAAAAUAGCUAAUGCUGCUGCUCUAGAAGUAGGUAUUAACUGCCUUUGGUCCAAUAAUAUUGAGGCAUCAAAGCUGUUCCUCCUAGGUCUUGCUGUAAUGAAAGAUAGGGUUUUAACCAUUCUUUAAAAGCAGUGAAUCGUUUCAAUUCUUUCUCUCCUGAAAGCUCUUUCUAUCAGAUGUAUUUUGAUAGAGUUAGAAUCAUGUCCCUGUUUUCUUGCUAAAUGUUCCUAUUUAUAUGUUAAAAAAGCUGGCAGGUUUGCAAGUACUGAAAAAAAAAACCCUCAAGGGGACAGCAUUUUUUAAAUGGAAUGGGAUUCAAAGUGAGAAUUCAUGAAUAUGCCUUUGGCUAGCUAUGACUGCAAAUCUUACAGAGAUCUGUGAUACUCUUAUUCAGCAGAGUCCAGCUGGGAACUGGCAUGUUGUGUCUGUGUAGCCCUUUGCUCUCUGCAUCUGUAGAGAAGGAGGUGAGUCUCGAGCCCCGCGGAGGGGGAGGACACGGGAGCUCUGGUGCAGUUUGGGGCUGUGAUUAUAGCUGGAGAGUAGGCUCUCUGCAGGAGGUCAUGAAACCUGGAUCACUAGCAUGAAACUGGGCUACUGUCAGCCUUUUAUUUGGCUCUUGAUGAAGAAACUGUGGACUGAGGAAACCUUCCUGAGCUCAGUGCUAACAUAACCAUCACUAGAAAUCUGUUUUGGCAUUUGCUGGUUUCUUCUCUUUGAACACUGACUCUACAGAAUAGAAAUUACCAUAUUGCACUGUGCAUCCUUAAUACAGAAAGCAAUUAUAAUCACUGCCAAGAUAAAAACAUCUGCCUGAGGGAAGAUCUUGCUGGUCUGGCCAUGAAGCUGUUGCUGAGGUAGAGCACUGAUAAUUAUUCCAGCACUGCUCUGUUACAUGGCUCAGUUCGCUUCUUCUGAUUGUGCUUCCAUUUUACUUUUUUCCUACAUUCCCAUAAACUCUUGGAUGAAAAAGGCCUUAAGAGCUGAGAAGGUCUUAACAAGGAAGAACUACUGUCAGCUGCCACAGAUUAGAUAAAGUGCUGCAAGGGCUGUAGGGUGGAAGGAAAAAUGGCACCAGUCAAGAUACUGGUCUAAAUUUUUUUUGCCUGAUUGAAAGCCACUAAAGCCUAAGAAUGUACGCAGAGAUAACUCAUUGUUAUACUUAAUGGGCAGCUAGUUGUAUUGCAUCAGGCUUCCUUUAUGUUACAGAGUAAUUGGACAAAGCAGAGUCUUGCCAUACCAACAGGCAUGGAAAAGCCGGGAAAGAUUUCUGUAUAGAGAGAUGGAGGGACCACAGCUGCUUGAUUCGGAAAGCAAAUAAAAAAGCUUGGUGUCAGCCUCAGCUGCUUUUCACAGCCUAAGAAGUAUUAAGGAAUGUGAAUUUGACAAGAAACAACUGAAGAGGAGUACACUCAUUCCUAAGGUAACUCUGCUGACCUUGCUAGAGCUGAUCCAAAGUUCAGUUUAGCCUUGACCUGUUUUUCUGUAGUUUGCAAGUUGUGUUUCUGGAGAACUGCUUCUGCUGCUGUUCUAUCCAUCUUUGUUCAAGGCAAUAACAAAAGAAGUGAAAAGGGUUCAGGGAACGGUGGCAAACAUAAUUGGAGCACAGGAAAACUCAUAUGAAGGGAGAUUAAUAAGGUUGGAGCUGUUUCUCUUAGAGAUGAGACAAAUAAAAAGGAGGUAAAAUAAAAAGAAAUCUGGAAGGACUCAUCCACAUUCCCCUUGUGACCCACUAAAGGGCCUUUAGAGGUCCACAGCCAUGGAAUUGAACUAAGCUACUGAUACCUUCUCUCCCUGCCAGCUGAAUGUGCAGUUUGGCUCUCUGCCCUGUGCCUUUUGGGGUGUAAAGGUUAAAAGUCAUUCAUAUAGGGGAGGGGCAGCUGUGGUCCCUGUUUCCCACCCAAGAGAAAAUAGAGGGAGUCACAGAAAAUCUGAGAAUAUUCCAAGUCAAAGGAAAGAGAGAUAUCUCUCCACUUAACACACAAACACCCAUGGAACUAGGCAAUAAAUAAUGUUUGAAGAUACUAUGUUUGUAACAAGAGUUUUUCGGGUUAUAAGAGGUGCUGGUAAAGCUGGGUGCAGCUGUGCAGCCUAGGGGAUGCUGGAUACUCUAUGGGUGGGAAAGGGGAUACACAAAGACUGGCAGCAAGCAUGCACCCCAGGAAAAGGCAAGGCUGAGGUGUCUGAGGCUUCAGCCACACUGGGGAGUUAGCUGCCUGAGUCCAGUCAUUAUCCAGCAUCAUCUGAGCUGAGAGAGUCAGCCCAGCUUGUGAACAUAGCCUGUGGUCAGUGUGGACAGCAGUAUUCACAGAGGAAUGAAACUGGGUCAGAGCAAACACAGUUUCUCAUGCAUUUGCAAUAGACAGGCAGCAGAAACAAAUAAUCAGCUACCAUGGUUCACUUGGUAUUUAGUAACGCUGGGGUGAUGGUGAAAUAUCACAAGACUGAGUCCUAAAAACAUGCCACCUCGUGCCUCUGUAUUUCAUAGGCAACAACCAUUGUGACGAUCUCUGAGGACUCACCAAACAAGUUCCCUUAGCAGCUGAUGAUAGUGCUGUACUUUCUCAGUGAAUUCCAUUUCAUGUCAGUGUACUUUAUUUGAUGAAUAUUUCUUUUUUUGCUGCAGGGCUUCAGCAGCAGUGCAGAUGGAGACUGCCAUGCCCUCGCUUUUUACCGAGUGGUUCAUUCACAGUACACCUGGGUUUGUAACCCAGCAAGCCCCAGAAAUUGUGUAAAUGCAUCUUCUGUGCCUGGCCUGAGUAUCUGGUGGGUUCCUUACUGUCCAGCAAACACCUACAGACUUGGCUGCUGUUUGGGAAAAGGGAAAGGAUCAAGGCAAUUCCUGGGACACUGCAGGGACUAAGCCCCAGAGAUGACAGUGGAUCCCUGCUCCCAAGCCUGUGGUUCAGAGAUUCAGUCCUCAAGUGAAGAAGUCCAAGAGGGCAGCUCUAAAGUGUUGGUGAUUCACCACAUCCCAAUGUCAAUCAAAGUGGAUCAGAAAGAUGACAUCUGGAAAGUGCCAUUUUUCUCUUUUAUAUUUGAGAAUAAAAAUCCUCACCAAUGUCCUGUUUCACCGUGACUGAAUGUAGAUGCACCUACUUGACCUGGAAGGCAAUACGGCCCAGGUUCUUUUGUGUCAGUUAGAUUAAAAGAGGAAAAAGGUGGCUCUUCUGAUCUUUCUGCAAAGUAUAUUUCCAGAGGCUUUUGGAGAAACUCAUCCUUCCUUGAAAUGCACUUGACUGAGAAGAUACUUUGAAAAUAUAGAGUGCAAACAACUCCUCCAGUGGUUUUGUUGGAGAAAAAGGAGCAGGAGGAAUUCAUCAUACUUGGCUAUACUGAGCAUGGAAUGCCUUCUUUGGAAAACUAUCUGCAUCAAGAAUAGCUGUGUUGCAACUUACGUUCCUGCAAUGAAAUUCUUUUAAAAGAUCAGUUUAGACUUAUCUGUAAGAAUUUUACAAAUUUUGACUAAAUGUAACAUUUCCAUUAAUGUGUUGCCAGUAUGUUGAGGAUAACUCAUUAGAUAACAUGGACUUAAGGGAUCUGUGAACUGAAUAAUGGAGGUUCUUGAAGUAAAGUAGUAAAUAUCUUUUUCAGAUUAUGUGUUUACAGUUUUCUAACCCUUCCAGUGCUGGGCAAUCAAAAAUUUUAUCUACAGUUUACCCUGACUUUUCAAGUCAUCAUCCUGUUUAAAGGCAGACAACAGGAAUAAAUGAAAUCAAUACAAAGAGCCGCACAUUAAUUUGUGCAAUUUUUUUUGUACUCUAUAAGCUAUUUGUGAAAUGAAAUUAAGAUACUCUAAUAUGGUUUAAUUAUAGGUAGGCCAGAUGAGACUUGGUAUUUAAAGACAGUGAAUGUGUAUAUUUAAAGAGAUGAAACUCCUGUCACACUCGGAAGAUAAAGCAAAAAAAGGAUGAUAAAAUAGAGUGGUGUUUAGGUUCAUGUCUGAGGCUGACUGGAGCCAGAUGUUGGAUUUAGAUGUGGUGGUUGCUGGGUUCUUAUGAGCUUUCUGCUGCUGAGAGCACACCAGAGUGGGGCAGAGAACUGCUCUGAUGCUGUUGUGGCCAUAAGCUGUUAAGUACAAGUAUAGUCAGUUUUCCUUCUUUUGAAGACCAAGUGAAAAACAGAAGCAACAUGAGAAAGCAAAGGUUUGGGGAUUUUUUGUGCAAAAGUGACUCAUUGUGAGACAUCUAAGUGGGAAAAUUGGGUAUUUCUUAUUUUUGCAAAAGCCAGACAAAUAAGAGGAUGUUUAUUAGGUCACAUGUACAAAUCAGGCACUUCUGAAGCUGGAUGGGAGGAAAACCUUUCCGGUUCAGAACUUAUAUCUCAGCUUAUAUCUCAUUCCUGGCUGAAGAAGAUGGAAUUCAGAGGCCCUCUUGGCCACCAUGCUGAAUACAGUCUCUUUGGGCUCUAUAGGCUCUUUGAACCUACAGAUCAUCUCUUGCACAUUUAAUCAGGAAUAAUCUAGGAAGGUGUUGCACAAAACCACUAGCACCCAAGCAGGACCUACGGUAGCAAAUAUGUGAGGCCCACUGGGAAUGUCCUGACUCAUUAUUCUAAGAAUUUCUUUCUCUAUUAAAAUAUCUAUUUAAAUAUUUCAUGAGUUUUUAUUUUCCUGGGAAUUCAGCUUUAAUUGAAGAGGGAUAUCUGAAAAAUGGAAGUGAUAUUCCUGGGUCAGAUGUUUGCCAGCAUUAUUAGUGGCUUUUUGAGAAGCUAGUCAUGAGAACAAGCCUUCCUCUGUCACAGGUCCUUGAGUGUUCUCCUGGCCAAGCCUUGGUAGAUGUUCAGUUUCCUCAGGGAGCUUGAGUUUGGUCCCCUUCCACCUUCCUUCUGGCCUUUGAUGCAUUUUGAAGAUGCAUAUUCACAGGUUAAGACGUCACAUAUUGCUCUAGCACAAACAGGAUUUAAUAUUAAUCUUUGUUUACUCAACCGUGUAAGUUGUAUUUAUUCUAAGAUCUGUUAAGUUUAAUACUGAUAAAUUGAGCACUUUCUUAAUGCAUGUUCACAUUCUGUCUUAGUCUAUUAUAUAUGUGCUAUAUAGAUGUGGUGCAUUUGCUUUAUAAACCCAAAAAUAAAGUCAAGAAUAAAAAAUGCUUUUGCAAACCAA